UACACACCGCCCGUCCACACCAUGGGAGUGGGUUGCACCAGAAGUAGUUAGCCUAACCGCAAGGGGGGCGAUUACCACGGUGUGAUUCAUGACUGGGGUG
rnacentral:rRNA from 1 species